rnacentral:misc_RNA from 1 species
ACACCUCAACUCUUCAUGGUUUUCCAUGAUGAGCUUGGACUUUGGGGGUCUUGCUGGCCUGUGGUCAGCUCCUCUCAAAUGAAUCAGCUUGCCAGUUUUUGGUGGGCAUCACAGGUGUGAUAACUAUCUACGCUUGUGGUUUUCCACCAGGGUAACCUUCAGCAGUGGAGGUUCACUGGAGCUUACAAAUUUCUCUCCUCUGUGAGGACAGCCCUUUGAAU